CCUACGGGGGGCAGCAGUGGGGGAUAUUGCACAAUGGGGGGAACCCUGAUGCAGCGACGCCGCGUGGGUGAAGAAGCGCCUCGGCGCGUAAAGCCCUGUCAGCAGGGAAGAAAAUGACGGUAUCUGACGAAGAAGCCCCGGCUAACUACGUGCCAGCAGCCGCGGUAAUACGUAGGGGGCAAGCGUUAUCCGGAUUUACUGGGCGUAAAGGGGGCGCAGACGGGGAUGCAAGCCAGGAGUGAAAGCCCGGGGCCCAACCCCGGGACUGCUCUUGAAACUGCGUGGCUAGAGUGCGGGAGGGGCAGGCGGAAUUCCUGGUGUAGCGGUGAAAUGCGUAGAGAUCAGGAGGAACACCGGUGGCGAAGGCGACCUGCUGGACUGCAACUGACGUUGAGGCCCGAAAGCGUGGGGAGCAAACAGGAUUAGAUACCCUUGUAGUC
rnacentral:rRNA from 1 species